rnacentral:rRNA from 1 species
ACCAGACUCCUACGGGAGGCAGCAGUGGGGGAUAUUGCACAAUGGGGGAAACCCUGAUGCAGCGACGCCGCGUGGGCGAAGAAGUAUUUCGGUAUGUAAAGCCCUCUCAGCAGGGAAGAAGAAAUGACGGUACCUGACUAAGAAGCCCCGGCUAACUACGUGCCAGCAGCCGCGGUAAUACGUAGGGGGCAAGCGUUAUCCGGAUUUACUGGGUGUAAAGUGAGCGUAGACGGCAGUGCAAGCCAGGAGUGAAAGCCCGGGGCCCAACCCCGGGACUGCUCUUGGAACUGCGCGGCUGGAGUGCAGGAGGGGCAGGCGGAAUUCCUGGUGUAGCGGUGAAAUGCGUAGAUAUCAGGAGGAACACCGGUGGCGAAGGCGGCCUGCUGGACUGCGACUGACGUUGAGGCCCGAAAGCGUGGGGAGCAAACAGGAUUAGAUACCCGGGUAAAA